UUGAAAGGGAAACGAUUGAAGUCAGUCGUACCGACGAGGAUCAACCUUUGAAAGCGGGUCGAGGUAUUCGAGGAGUUUAAAAGCCCUCUUGCGCUCACGUACUUCGUUUUCUUUGGUGCACUUCUUCGUAUGGUAGGUUAACAUCAAUUUUGGACGUUACAAAAUGAUCGGGGGAAUGUAGCUUCGAUUUUUUCGAAGUGUUAUAGACCUUGAUAGAUGUGAUGUUUGAGGUCGAGGAUUGCAACGGAUACCCUUUGGGGCUAGCUGCCUGAUCUCUAAUUGGUGUUGGGUUACGGAUAGCAUGCUGACCGUGAUCUAAUUACUGGUUAAAAGGUUAGAGUAUGCAUAAAUUCGUUAAGGAUGUUGACGUA
rnacentral:rRNA from 1 species